AACGCUGGCGGCGUGCCUAAUCCAUGCAAGUCGAGCGAACAGACGAGGAGCUUGCUCCUCUGACGUUAGCGGCGGACGGGUGAGUAACACGUGGAUAACCUACCUAUAAGACUGGGAUAACUUCGGGAAACCGGAGCUAAUACCGGAUAAUAUAUUGAACCGCAUGGUUCAAUAGUGAAAGACGGUUUUGCUGUCACUUAUAGAUGGAUCCGCGCCGCAUUAGCUAGUUGGUAAGGUAACGGCUUACCAAGGCAACGAUGCGUAGCCGACCUGAGAGGGUGAUCGGCCACACUGGAACUGAGACACGGUCCAGACUCCUACGGGAGGCAGCAGUAGGGAAUCUUCCGCAAUGGGCGAAAGCUUGACGGAGCAACGCCGCGUGAGUGAUGAAGGUCUUCGGAUCGUAAAACUCUGUUAUUAGGGAAGAACAAAUGUGUAAGUAACUAUGCACGUCUUGACGGUACCUAAUCAGAAAGCCACGGCUAACUACGUG
rnacentral:rRNA from 1 species